ACUAGCUUAAGGGUAUUUAUGUAUUAAUUGUUUAUAAUUCAUAAUAUGAGGACAGAUAAUCUAUUCAUAUAUAUUGUAUAGCAGUACAAUAUUGAUAUGAAUCGUCCAUAGGGUUUUUGUUUGGAAAGACAUAUUCUUAAGAGUUAGGAAUUUGAGAUAUGUACUUUUCUGUACAAGACUCUUUAAAUACUUCUAGCCAGAGGAAUAUUACAAGAACGGUGAUAUUCCGGAUAGGCCGGUGUAUGCUAUGUUUCUAAUUGAGGUGACGAAUCUCAAGUCACUAGUGUAGGAACACUAGAACAAGCAUACAGGUGCUUGUUAGAGAACAAGUACACUGAGCGUGACUAUUUAGUUGAACAGUCACAUUGUUCUAUGCUCGCCAGUGACAAGUUCAUUGCUACAGUUGUGUAAAGUACUUCUCGGACUUGAGGCAUUAUAGUUGCUUCACGUAUAGGUUGCUACCGUUUGACAGUACUAAUACUUAAACUCUAGACAUGGGUCUAUAUUCGGUACUGAUUGGCUGUAGUGAUUUAUGCGAGGAGGCAUGUGAAUGCGCAAUAAGGAAUCCAACACUUUCAAUGACGAGGGAGAAUGUCCUAUGCAGUCUAUCGGACUUGACUCGGAAAACCCCUGGCCAGGGUACAUGGUAUGUGGAAAGAGUUUCCAACUGUGUUACCAUAUUGAGUUGAUUUCAGAUAGUCUAGUCAUAUGAUUGAAUGAUAAGGUUUGGCGAGUAACCAUGACCUUAGUUCGAUUGGGACGUUGUAUGUUGGAAGGAAUUAAUCACAUGGUAACUGUAAGCGGAAAGGUUCAUUCUUCAUCACCAUUCUGGAUUGCCGUGAUAUACUGCUAGGUGUCACUUACGGACGGUGAGAGAAUAUGAAUAAUUCGAAUUGAAUUGUUCUUAUUUAUCGAUUAGAAGAGUUCUAAUUAAAUAUCAAAGAGUUUGAUGUUGAGCUCCACUGCCGAAUGGUAAUGAACCUAUGCGGUCACACACAUUAGGAAUUGUGUGCACCUGAAUCGUUUGGAUGAAAGUCGUUCACUAAAGAGUUUAGUGUAAGCGAUAAAAAUAAAAGGAAGCUGCUUAAUUAAAUUAGAUUUAAUUAUUCGAUUCGGUUAUAACUGAUAAUCCUAAUUAGAUUAGGAUCUCAGAAUCAGUUAGAGAAUUAUGCGCAAGAUUUAAAUUUAUCUCUAAUUAGAUUAGUAGAUAAUAUUUAAUCAUAAAAGAUAUUUAAAUGAGAUUUAAAUAUUAGUGAGUA
rnacentral:lncRNA from 1 species